CCCUUAGAUGUUCUGGGCUGCACGCGCGCUACACUGAUGCGUUCAACGAGUUUAUGACCUUGCCCGAUAGGGUUGGGUAAUCUUUUUAAAUCGCAUCGUGAUGGGGAUAGAUUAUUGCAAUUAUUAAUCUUCAACGAGGAAUUCCUAGUAAGCGCGAGUCAUCAGCUCGUGCUGAUUACGUCCCUGCCCUUUGUACACACCGCCCGUCGCUCCUACCGAUUGAAUGGUCCGGUGAAAUCUUCGGAUCUGAGAGAUGUCUGAUUAAUUUCGGACGCCUUUUGGAAAAGUUGUUUAAACCUUACCAUUUAGAGGAAGGUGAAGUCGUAACA
rnacentral:rRNA from 1 species